rnacentral:rRNA from 1 species
GGUUUGAUUAUGGCUCAGAUUGAACGCUUAUGGGAUGCUUUACACAUGCAAGUCGAAUACAGCACGGACUUCGGUCUGGUAUGAGUGGCGAACGGGUGAGAAUACCGGAACGUGCCUAGUAGCGGGGGGAUAACUACGCGAAAGCGUAGCUAUUACUGCAUACACCUUCUGGGGGAAGUGGGGACCCUCUGGCCUCGCACUCAAUAGAGCGCUGAUAUCGAUUAGCUAGUUGCGGGUAACGCUCACCAAGGCGACGAUCCGUAGCUGGUUUGAGAGGACGAGACUCGCCACACUGGGACUGAGAGAUGGCCCAGACUUCGAGCGGAGCAGCAGUGGUCCCGACGGCCUGGGGAAACCUGAUCCAAUACCCCGGCGUGUGUGCGAUGAAGGCCUCGGGUUGUGUAAGCACUUUUGGCAGGAAGUAAAACGGCACGGAUACAGCCUCGUGCAACUUGACGGUGCCUGCAGAAUAAGCACCGGCUAACUACGUGCCAGCAGCCGCGGUAAUACGUAGGGUGCAAGCGUUAAUCGGAAUUACUGGGCGUAAAGCGUGCGCAGGCGGUUCGAAAGAAAGAUGUGAAAUCCCAGAGCUUAACUUUGGAACUGCACUUUUAACUACCGAGCUAGAGUGUCAGAGGGAGGUGGAAUUCGCGUAGCAGUGAAAUGCGUAGAUAUGCGGAGUGAACACUGAUGGCGAAGGCAGCCUCCUGGGAUAACACUGACGCUCAUGCACGAAAGCGUGGGGAGCAAACAGGAUUAUUCCGGUAGUCCAAUGCCCUAAACGAUGUCAACUAGCUGUUGGGGCCUUCGGGCCUUGGUAGCGCAGCUAACGCGGAAGCUUUCGACCGCCUGGGGGAGUAUGGUCGCAAGAUUAAAACUCAAAGGAAUUGACGGGGACCCGCAUAAGCGGUGGAUGAUGUGGAUUAAUUCGAUGCAACGCGAAAACCUGCCUACCCUUGACAUGUUCGAAUCCCGAAGAGAUUCGGGAGUGUCGCAAGAGAACGGAACACAGGGGAAAGCGUAUAUUGUCGUCAGUUUCGUGUCGUGAGAUGCUGGGUUAAGUCCUGCAACGAGCGCAAUCCUUGUCACAGUUGCUACGAAAGGGCACUCUAAUGACUGCCGGUGACAAACCGAGGAAGGUGGGAUGACGUCAAGUCCUCAUGGCCUAUGGGUAGGGCUUCACACAUCGUCGUACAAUGGUCGGGACAGGGUCGCUAACCCGCGAGGGGGAGCCAAUCCUAGAACCCGAUCGUAGUCCGGAUCGCAGUCUGCAACUCGACGUGCAGUCGGAAUCGCUAGUAAUCGCGGAUCAGGGCAUGUUUGCAGGUGUGAAUACGUUCCCGGGCCUUGUACACACUGCCCGUCACACCAUGGGAAGGGCUUUACCAGGACAGAAGAAGGCCUAACCGUAAGGAGGGCGAUUACCACGGUAGGAUUCAUGACUGGGGUGAAGUCGUAACAAGGUAACUC